rnacentral:rRNA from 1 species
AGAGUUUGAUCCUGGCUCAGGACGAACGCUGGCGGCGCGCUUAAAACAUGCAAGUCGAACGUGAAGCCGGGGCUUGCCCCGGUGGAAAGUGGCGAACGGGUGAGUAACACGUGAGAAACCUGCCCCGGAGACCGGGAUAACCCAGGGAAACUUGGGCUAAUACCGGAUGUCUUCACCGGACCGCAUGAUCUGGUGAAGAAAUGGAUUCCGCUCCGGGUUGGUCUCGCGGCCUAUCAGCUUGUUGGUGAGGUAACGGCUUACCAAGGCUUCGACGGGUAGCUGGUCUGAGAGGACGAUCAGCCACACUGGGACUGAGACACGGCCCAGACUCCUACGGGAGGCAGCAGUUAGGAAUCUUGCACAAUGGGGGAAACCCUGAUGCAGCGACGCCGCGUGCGGGACGAAGGCCCUCGGGUCGUAAACCGCUUUCAGCAGGAGCGAAAUUGACGGUACCUGCGGAAGAAGCCCCGGCCAACUACGUGCCAGCAGCCGCGGUAAUACGUAGGGGGCAAGCGUUGUCCGGAUUCAUUGGGCGUAAAGAGCUCGUAGGCGGUUCGGUAAGUCAGGUGUGAAAUCUCUGCGCUCAACGCAGAGCGGCCACCUGAUACUGCCGUGACUCGAGUCCGGUAGGGGAGUGUGGAAUUCCCGGUGUAGCGGUGAAAUGCGCAGAUAUCGGGAGGAACACCAGUAGCGAAGGCGGCACUCUGGGCCGUGACUGACGCUGAGGAGCGAAAGCGUGGGUAGCAAACAGGAUUAGAUACCCUAGUAGUCC